GAAAAGAGGUAAGUUUUUUUCAUUUUCUGAGACCGGAAGUGGUCAUCAGCAAGUGUGGAGCCAAACGACGACAACAAGAGGCAGAGAGCAGUGAUUGGACAGACCAUAGAUAUGUCUAGAAGACAGCGCGCUAGCGUAUCAAGUGUAUGAGUAUCUAUGGUCGGCACGUCUGGUAGCAUCUCUGGCUGCUGUUGACCUUGUUUUUGGAGUAAAACACGGUGGAAGCUGAAUUAGUGAGGAUGACUCCUGCUCCUGUCAUCUCUAAGCUCCUCACACAUCUUUACCUGCACAUGAGGAAAAUCACUCCUGUAGAAUGCAGAUGUUCAGAUGGAGAUGAUGCCACAUCUGGUCCAGCUGAUGGAAGGUCUUGAAGUUCUCUGACUGGCCUCGACUGAAGAUGGUCGUCUCACUGGAUUUAAGGUUCAGAUGCUCAGUAACAAACUCCACCAAUGAGCCAACAGGGAAGCUUUAGGUUUAUUAAAUGUUGCUAUGAAGGUAUUCGCUGUUUUUCUUUGUGAAUGCAAUGAGCUCCAACUGAAAGUUGAAUUAGAACUUAGAAGUAAAUCCUUCCAUCUGAAAGGAUUUAGUUGCAUUAAUAACCUCAUAACAUUCUAAUUUUCAUUCCAGUCUUGGUUGAAAAUAUAAUCUCUGUAUUGAUUCAGGUAAAAACUGAACUUCACAGCAUGUUGGAGCAAAACAACCAGAUGAAAACUGUGAUGGUGUUGGAUUGUCAGACCGUAAUGUUGCAGCUCAAAGCAGCUUUUCUAGCUCAGUUCAUUCUGACAUUCAGCUAUGAAUCAACACAGCAGAUGGUGAUCCAUGCUGUGGAAGUCUCACAUCUCCUGAUUUAAUGGAGCUGCUUUGCACUUUUUACACUGUUUAUUCACCAACACUUUAUUUAAUAAAGGUCCCAUCUAGUUUUUAUGAGGAAUGUGAUGUUUUAAUUUCUCUGUGAAUAACUGCAGUCUAAUGGAACAGCUGGAGUUGUAACAUCUGUCCUGAUAUUGAUCAUGAAGUAUUGAUCAGAAUACUUAUGGUCAGCAGUCAUCCCUGAAGUUUUACAUUAAAAUCUUUACUUGUGUUGUGAACUUUGGUAAGAAGCAGAAACUUUUGCGUUGCCAUGGAUACAUGAGUGUUAAAUUCUGUCCAUGUUUCCAUUUUGGGAAAUUCAGUCCAGUUCCAGAAUGUGGAGGAAUUUAGUCUCACAAUCACAGACAACAAAUAUUAUCUGAAAGUGGGGUUAUUGUUGUUUAUCAGCACAAUACAAAAAGAUUAAUGUUAGAAAUAUUCCAGUUAAGACUCUAGAAUAUCAUGAUUUAUGUAAAUUUACCUCAAUAAUAUGAAUGUUCAGGUUAAGAUUGUGCAGUGAUAUUUAUUAUGUAAGUUUAGCUGAUUAAAGUUUAUUACUCUGCACUAAAAUAUUAUUUAAAUUGACACCAUUAUUAUAAUAUUUAGGGUCAGACCCUACAGUAUUGAGAUUAAGAAAUCAAAUAUUCUAUAAAAUGUAAAUACACUGAACUCAUUUGGAUAUAUUUAAGUGAGACUCUACAAUAUUAUUUGACACAAAUCUAUCUAAAUCAAAAUUUUAAUAAUUUUCAUGCCAAACAUUUACUGGACUGAUUUAAAUAUUAAAAUCACUCCUUUCUAAUCCUCUGCUGUACGUUCAAACCUGAGGCCUUAAAUAGAAACACACAAGUAUCUGAUGGAAGGAACUUCUGCAGAGUCCUGGUUCCAGAACAUGAUGAUAGAAUUAUAGACAAACUUUAACAAAAGCUGCCUGAGAGUUUACAGGUUUUUAUGUUAAAUUUCUUCAUUAAUUUAAUGAGAGUUAUCAGCAAAAAUCAAGUGUUCAUUUGAUGAACUUCAUUUCCUAAAACAUCCAGAAUUGGAGCUCAUAUCUUUGGCUGCUGUAAAGUUUCUGCUCCUUCAAAGUUCACAACACAAUGAAUGAAUUCCUAAAACACUCUCAAUGCUGGAGAGCGUUUGUAAUGCUGAAGCAGUGAUCAGUUUUUCUGUUUCUUCUCUGGAGAUGCACAAUGAGGGACGUCUGCAGAGACUGAGAAAGAGUCUCACCACAUCCUGACAUGAGGAAAAAGACUUUAUUGAAGACUACAAUGAGAAAAACUAUCAGACAGCAGACUGCUGCAUUCAAGGUGAGCUCUGAACAUUUGAUCUGGAACAGGAAUUCAAUAACGGCAGCAUGAGCUUCAUUUCAGUCUGUAGCUGCUGAAUUCAUGGAUGAAUCAUCUGGCACUAGAGAGGAAGACCAUCAAACAUCCACGUCAGCUGAUGGAGGUCCGAGAGUCUCACCAAACAACCAACCUACAGAGUGAAGACCUCAAAUCUGAUUGGACGGCCUCCUAUUCAGCCACAUGUGUGAACAAAUGCCUCUAAGUUGAUUUGUUUUCUAAAAUAAAUCUAGUUUGAGUCCUAA